GAACAUUAUGCCUGGAAUGGUUUAUGUUUCAAAUAAUUUAUUGCCGUAGGAUGGGACUGCGGCCUAUCAGUUUGUUGGUGAGGUAAUGGCCCACCAAGACUAUUACAGGUACGGGCUCUGAGAGGAGUAGCCCGGAGAUGGGUACUGAGACACGGACCCAGGCCCUAUGGGGCGCAGCAGGCGAGAAAACUUUGCAAUGUGCGAAAGCACGACAAGGUUAAUCCGAGUGGUUUCUGCUAAAGGAACCUUUUGUCAGUCCUAGAAACACUGAUGAAUAAGGGGUGGGCAAGUUCUGGUGUCAGCCGCCGCGGUAAAACCAGCACCUCAAGUGGUCAGGAUGAUUAUUGGGCCUAAAGCAUCCGUAGCCUGCUUUGUAAGUUUUCGGUUAAAUCCAUACGCUCAACGUAUGGGCUGCCGGGAAUACUGCAAAGCUAGGGAGUGGGAGAGGUAGACGGUACUCGGUAGGAAGGGGUAAAAUCCUUUGAUCUAUUGAUGACCACCUGUGGCGAAGGCGGUCUACCAGAACACGUCCGACGGUGAGGGAUGAAAGCUGGGGGAGCAAACCGGAUUAGAUACCCGGGUAGUCCCAGCUGUAAACUAUGCAAACUCAGUGAUGCAUUGGCUUGAUGCCAGUGCAGUGCUGCAGGGAAGCCGUUAAGUUUGCCGCCUG
rnacentral:rRNA from 1 species